CAAGUCGAGGGGUAACAGGGAGCUUGCUUCGCUGACGACCGGCGCACGGGUGCGUAACGCGUAUAGAACCUACCUUUUACAGGGGAAUAGGCCUUUUAGAGAUGAAGAUUAAUGCCCCCAUAGUAUUGUAGACUGGCAUCAGUUUAUAAUUAAAGAUUUAUCGGUAAAAGAUGGCUAUGCGUCCUAUUAGUUAGUUGGUAAGGUAACGGCUUACCAAGACAUCGAUAGGUAGGGGUCCUGAGAGGGAGAUCCCCCACACUGGUACUGAGACACGGACCAGACUCC
rnacentral:rRNA from 1 species